GCGAACCUUGCUUAAUAUCACCA
rnacentral:snRNA from 1 species